rnacentral:tRNA from 13 species
GGCUCGGUGGUGCAACGGUAGCGCGCUUGACUCCAGCUCAGAAGGCUGCGUGUUCAAAUCACGUCCGGGUCA